CCUACGGGUGGCAGCAGUGGGGAAUAUUGGGCAAUGGAGGCAACUCUGACCCAGCAACGCCGCGUGAAGGAAGAAGGCUUUCGGGUUGUAAACUUAUGUUGCAAAGGAAGAAAAGAAUGACGGUACUUUACAAGAAAGCACGGGCUACCUAUGUGCCAGCAGCCGCGGUAAGACAUAGGGGGCAAGCGUUGUUCGGAAUUACUGGGCGUAAAGGGAGCGUAGGCGGGAGAUUAAGUUAAAGGUGAAAGCCUUGGGCUCAACCCCAGAAUUGCUCUUAAUAUUGGUUUUCUAGAGUGUGGGAGAGGUAGGUGGAAUUCCUAGUGUAGCGGUAGAAUGCGUAGAGAUAAGGAGGAACAUCAGAGGCGAAGGCGGUUUACUGGACCAUAACUGACGGUGAGGCGCGAAAGCGUGGGGAGCAAACAGGAUUAGAUACCCUGGUAGUC
rnacentral:rRNA from 1 species